rnacentral:rRNA from 2 species
UGGACCUCAGAUCAGGCAAGAUCACCCGCUGAGUUUAAGCAUAUCACUAAGCGGAGGAAAAGAAACUAACGAGGAUUUCCCUAGUAACGGCGAGCGAACCGGAAGUAGCCCAGCUUGAAA